rnacentral:rRNA from 1 species
GAUGAACGCUGGCGGCGUGCCUAAUACAUGCAAGUCGAACGCUUUGUGGUUCAACUGAUUUGAAGAGCUUGCUCAGAUAUGACGAUGGACAUUGCAAAGAGUGGCGAACGGGUGAGUAACACGUGGGAAACCUACCUCUUAGCAGGGGAUAACAUUUGGAAACAGAUGCUAAUACCGUAUAACAAUGACAACCGCAUGGUUGUUAUUUAAAAGAUGGUUCUGCUAUCACUAAGAGAUGGUCCCGCGUUGCAUUAGCUAGUUGGUAAGGUAAUGGCUUACCAAGGCGAUGAUGCAUAGCCGAGUUGAGAGACUGAUCGGCCACAAUGGGACUGAGACACGGCCCAUACUCCUACGGGAGGCAGCAGUAGGGAAUCUUCCACAAUGGGCGAAAGCCUGAUGGAGCAACGCCGCGUGUGUGAUGAAGGGUUUCGGCUCGUAAAACACUGUUGUAAGAGAAGAAUGACAUUGAGAGUAACUGUUCAAUGUGUGACGGUAUCUUACCAGAAAGGAACGGCUAAAUACGUGCCAGCAGCCGCCUAGA